GACGAACGCUGGCGGCGUGCUUAACACAUGCAAGUCGAACGGAAAGGCCCUGCUUUUGUGGGGUGCUCGAGUGGCGAACGGGUGAGUAACACGUGAGUAACCUGCCCUUGACUUUGGGAUAACUUCAGGAAACUGGGGCUAAUACCGGAUAGGAGCUCCUGCUGCAUGGUGGGGGUUGGAAAGUUUCGGCGGUUGGGGGUGGACUCGCGGCUUAUCAGCUUGUUGGUGGGGUAGUGGCUUACCAAGGCUUUGACGGGUAGCCGGCCUGAGAGGGUGACCGGCCACAUUGGGACUGAGAUACGGCCCAGACUCCUACGGGAGGCAGCAGUGGGGAAUAUUGCACAAUGGGCGGAAGCCUGAUGCAGCAACGCCGCGUGCGGGAUGACGGCCUUCGGGUUGUAAACCGCUUUCGCCUGUGACGAAGCGUGAGUGACGGUAAUGGGUAAAGAAGCACCGGCUAACUACGUG
rnacentral:rRNA from 1 species